rnacentral:lncRNA from 1 species
GAGACAAAUCUGAAGCUGAUGUAAGGAAAACCUUCUAUCAGUUUUAGAACUACUAUAAGUGGAGUGGAUUGCCAUGGGAAAUAGUGGGAUACAUUCUCCAGAGGACUUCUACAAAGAUCUAAUCACUUUCCAGUCACUAUCAUUGCUCAACGACUCCCAUCCACAGAAACCUUCUAUGUCAAAUAUAAGCCUUCAUUUCUACAGUUAAACAAAUCAAAUUCAUAUAUUGUCAGUGUCUGAAAACAUAUGACCCACUGUGAACCUCUACUCCAU